ACUCCUACGGGAGGCAGCAGUGGGGAAUAUUGCACAAUGGGCGCAAGCCUGAUGCAGCCAUGCCGCGUGUGUGAAGAAGGCCUUCGGGUUGUAAAGCACUUUCAGUUGUGAGGAAGGUGGUGUCGUUAAUAGCGGCAUCAUUUGACGUUAGCAACAGAAGAAGCACCGGCUAACUCCGUGCCAGCAGCCGCGGUAAUACGGAGGGUGCGAGCGUUAAUCGGAAUUACUGGGCGUAAAGCGCAUGCAGGUGGUUUGUUAAGUCAGAUGUGAAAGCCCGGGGCUCAACCUCGGAACUGCAUUUGAAACUGGCAGACUAGAGUACUGUAGAGGGGGGUAGAAUUUCAGGUGUAGCGGUGAAAUGCGUAGAGAUCUGAAGGAAUACCGGUGGCGAAGGCGGCCCCCUGGACAGAUACUGACACUCAGAUGCGAAAGCGUGGGGAGC
rnacentral:rRNA from 1 species